rnacentral:rRNA from 1 species
CAAUAGCGUAUAUUAAAGUUGUUGCAGUUAAAAAGCUAGUAGUUGGAUUUCGGGGCAGCCUGGCUGGUCCGCCGCAAGGCGAGUACUGGUCAGCCGCCCUUCCUCUCGAAAGCCCCGACUGCUCUUUAUUGCAGUGGUCGGGUAGUUCGGGACGUUUACUUUGAAAAAAUUAGAGUGUUCAAGGCAGGCCUACGCCUGAAUACAUUAGCAUGGAAUAAUGGAAGAGGACCUCGGUCCUAUUUUGUUGGUUUCCAGGACCGAAGUAAUGAUUAAGAGGGACAGUUGGGGGCAUUCGUAUUUAAUUGUCAGAGGUGAAAUUCUCGGAUUUAUGAAAGACGAACAACUGCGAAAGCAUUUGCCAAGGAUGUUUUCAUUAAU